rnacentral:rRNA from 1 species
UACGUAGGUGGCAAGCGUUAUCCGGAUUUAUUGGGCGUAAAGCGCGCGUAGGCGGCCGCCUAAGCGGAACCUCUAACCCCGGGGCUCAACCUCGGGCCGGGUUCCGGACUGGGCGGCUCGAGUGCGGUAGAGGAGAGCGGAAUUCCCGGUGUAGCGGUGGAAUGCGCAGAUAUCGGGAAGAACACCGAUGGCGAAGGCAGCUCUCUGGGCCGUCACUGACGCUGAGGCGCGAAAGCUGGGGGAGCGAACAGG